AUGUUUUGUUAUUCAGCUUCAAACUAUCAACAAUCACAAGUUAGGAUGAGUAGUUCUGCGGCGGUAGAGGUCCCUGAAGAAGAAUGCAAGUGGAUUCCAAGUGUUGUCAAUGUGUAUGCAGAUGCAAUGGGAAGGUUUGCAGUGAAUGUCACACCCCACCCGAGCCAGCCUCUUGAGUUCGAAGGGAGGCGCGACGAACGACAGAUACCACUCUUUUUGCUUAACUACAAAGCUUACAACAACAACUCUAAAACUGGAUGUGUGGCUGUGGUGUGGCAGACCUUGACCUUAGCAGCACCCUGGAUCUCUUCACCUUUUGCUACAUGGGAAGAAAAACAUGAAAGAAAAGAAUGAGCUUCAAGAAGCUCAAUGAGUGGUGAAAAUGCGGAGGCAAAGUAGCAGACAGAGCAAGUAGGUAGGAAACAAGAAUACUAAGCCUAUCGCUAGAGGCCCCGAGGUACAAAGAACCCACCGGGAAGAAACAUGAAGGUAAGAGAUCCAAUGAGUCAGGAAAUGACAUCUGAGAGAGAGUCUAGUACUCCUCAGGCAUAGGUAAAUCCUCAACUAGAAGAUGAGGUUUUUGACAGAAUAGUGCAGAGGUUGGCAACCAGUGUAGACUCAAUACGGGUCGACCCAAAGAAUAAGUAUAGCAUUGAGAGGCUUAAAGCCCUAGAGGAUGUGACAUUCGAGGGUACAACAGACCUAGUUGAAGCCGAGGUAUGGCUAGAUAUAAUUGAAAAAUGUUUUAACAUUAUUGGCUACACAGAAAACAUGAAGGUAGAAUUAGCUACAUUCCUACUGCAAAAAGGAACAAAGAAAUGGUGGAAGGUAGUAUCUGCCAGACGAGUGAGUAUGGAUACGAUGUAAUGGUCUGAGUUUAGAAAGACCUUUGAAGACAAGUAUUACCCCAGCUCCUUCAAAGAUGCGAAAAGGGAUGAGUUCCUUAGACUGACACAGGGAACGAUGUUAGUGGUAGAGUACGAGCAGAAAUUUACAGAAUUAUCACAAUAUGCUUUGUCGAUUAUUGUUGAGGAAAGGUAGAUGUAGAAAGUUUGAUCAAGGACUGAGGAAAGAGAUUAGAACUCCGGUGACAUCUACGACUAAUUGGUUAAACUUUAACCAAUUAGUAGAAACAGUGAACGGGUGGAGCGGAGUCUAGCUGAUGAUGAGGAGUUACAAAGAGGUGGUGAGGCUGUAGUGGGGUCGAGAGAUAGAGGAUCUCGACCUUCAGUUAUAGGUCAGUCUAGUGGAAGCUGAUUCAGGGGUAUGAGUUGAGCGGGAUCCAGAAAGAGGAAAUCGAGACCCACGGCCAAUACAGUCAGCCGACCAGAGAUGCCAGAAACUGGUGAGUCUAUAACCAGUAUGGACGGGAAAUCGAUGUGUCCUAGUUAUGGCAAUAGGCAUCUUGGAGUGUGCUACAGUGGAAGAGGGGCAUGUUUCCAAUGCGGCCAAGCAGGGCAUUUCAAGAAAGAUUGUCCCCAUGUGAACAGGGAAGCCCCAACAGCACAACAGAUCAUUUCUCAAAUAGUUAAUCAAUCGAGGGGCGCCGAAAAUUGAGGUGAAGGAUCAAAUGGUGCCAAGCAGAAGGGUGUCGUAGGUCGACCCAGCAGUAGGGGCGAGUGUAUGUCGUGAGUGCACUUAACGGCAACAGAGUCUCUAGAUGUUGUGACCGGUAAUGUGAUGUUAUGUAGACAGUCUGCUUAUGUUUUAUUUGAUCCUGGUGCCACACAUUCAUUUAUAUCCAGCAUGUUUGCAUCUAGUAUAGAUAGCUUGUCUGAGCCUAUGUCUGAAGAGUUAUAUAUCUCUACCUCUAUGGGAGAUGUGAUAAUAGUAGAGGAAUGUUAUAAACAUUGUGAUGUGCUGAUAAAUGGUCAGGAUUUUUAUGUUAAUUUGUUUCCAUUAGAUUUGCUAGAGUUUGAUGCCACCUUAGGAAUGGAUUUCCUAAGUAAAUAUCAUGGCUUAGUGGACUGCUAUAAUCAAGAAGUAGGGUUCAGGAAAUUAUAUAGUUAGGAUGUAAUCCUGGUAGGAAGCAAGAGAUUAACUGCAGGAAGUCUGAUAUAAGUAGUGAAAGCUAUAAAGCUACUAAGCAAGGGAUAUAGGUCCUAUUUGGCUCAUUUUGAGGUUGCUCAGGGGCAGAAGCUGAAACUGGAAGAUGAUCCAGUGGAAAAUGAGUUCCUAGAUGUAUUUAAUGAGGAAUUAUCGAGAUUUCCACCCUAUAGAGAAGUGGAGUUCACUAUUGACCUAAUUCUAGGAACUGUUCCCAUGUUGCAAGCACCGUAUAGAAUGGCACCAGCUAAGUUUAAGGAGUUGAAGUUGCAAUUGCAUAAAUUAAUUGACAAGGGAUACAUUCGACCUAGUGUAUCUCCUUGUGGAGCUUCGGUGUUGUUCAUAAAAUAAAAAGACGGUACACUUAGAUUGUGUAUCGAUUAUGGGCAGCUGAAUAAGGUAACGAUCUGGAACAGAUAUCCGGUACCGCAUAUUAAUGAUUUAUUCGAUCAGCUAAGAGGAGCCACGGUGUUCUCAAAGAUAGACCUGAGAUCAGAUUAUCAUCAGUUGAAGGUGAAGGAGGUCGACGUUCCUAAAAUCGCAUUCAAAAUGAGAUAUGGACAUUACGAGUUCCUAGUAAUGCCAUUCGAACUGAAGAAUGCCCCUACGGUAUUCAUGGACUUGAUGAACAGGAUAUUUCAUCCCUAUUUGGACCAGUUCUUGAUAGUAUUUAUUGAUGAUAUAUCAGUAUACUCUAGCAGUAGGGAGGAUCAUAUGACCCACUUGAGGAUAGUAUUGCAGACGUUGCCAGAAAAAUAAUUGUAUGUUAAGUUCAGCAAAUGUGAAUUCCGGUUAGAUCGGGUUGUAUUUCUUGGUCGUGUGGUUUCAACAGCAGGAGUAAGUAUGGAUCCUCAGAAGACUGAAGCUAUAGUAAAUUGGGAGAGACCCACAAAUGCCUCUGAAGUACGUAGUUUCCUGGGUUUAGCAAGCUACUACAGACGAUUUGUAGAGUGUUUCUCGAAGAUAGCCCUUCCACUGACGAAUUGGACGAGGAAGGAUUUGAAGUUUGUGUGGACUUCAGAAUUUGAGCAGAGCUUUCAAGAGUUAAAAUGGAUACUAGUAUCUUCUUCUAUACUUACUUUACCAACCCCAGGUAAAGAAUUUGAGAUUUAUUGUGAUGCAUCCCGACAGGGACUAGGAUGUGUGUUGAUGCAGGAUGGGAAAGUGAUUGCAUAUGCAUCUCGUCAGCUUAAGAAGCAUGAGAGCAAUUAUCGUACACAUGAUCUAGAGCUGGCAGAAAUUGUAUUAGUAAGCUGUGGAGACAUUAUUUAUUUGGAGAGCAUUACAGAAUAUUCACAGAUCACAAGAGCAUUAAGUAUAUUUUUUUAUCAAAAGAAGUUGAACCUGAGGCAAAGAAGAUGGAUAGAGUUGAUCAAAAACUAUGACUGCUCAAUUAAGUACCACCCUGGUAAGGCAAAUGUUGUAGUUGAUGCAUUGAGCAGGAAAUCCUCCGAACCCAAAGUAGUCCUUUGAUCGAUAUCUGGAAUGUUACGCCAGAAGUUCAGGAGUUCUAGAACUGCCCUAGCAGUAGGACAGUGAGGAGGAUUGAUAGCUACAUUUCAGGUAAGACCUACUUUAAUGGAAGAUCUUAAGCAGGAUCGGUUGAAAGAUCCUGAUCUUCAGAAGAUUGCAGAUGAUGUAAGUAAAGGAAUCAAAACUGACCUCCAGUUGAGAACAGAUGGUGUGCUAGUAAAGGAAGGAAUAAUGUAUGUGCCUAAUAAGUUGCAGCUUAAGCAAACUAUUCUAGAAGAGGCGCAUAGUUCUGCUUACGUUAUGCAUUCAAGAAGCACCAAGAUGUAUAGAACCUUGAAGAGAUCAUACUAGUGGCCUGGGAUGAAGAGAGACAUAGCAGAAUAUGUAGAUCGAUGUUUAGUCUGUCAACAUGUGAAACCUGAGAGGCAUAGACCAGCAGGAUUACUAAAUCCACUCCCAAUGCCUGAGUGGAAGUGAGAGCAUGUGACAAUGGACUUUCUUUUUGGAUUGCCUAGGAUGCCCUUAGGAUAUGAUGGCAUUUGGGUGAUAGUCGAUAGACUGACCAAGACGGCCAAGUUUAUACCAGUAAAAGUUACCUUUACGUUGGACCGUCUAGCUAAGAUUUAUGUAGACAAAAUAGUCAGUCAGUAUGGAGUCCCAGUGUCGAUAGUGUUAGAUCGAGACUCGAGGUUUACUUCAAAAUUCUGGCCUAGUCUGCAGAAGGCUAUGAGCACUAAAAAUAAUUUCAGUACGGCUUUUCAUCCACAGACGGAUUGACAGUCGAAAAGAACUAUACAGACACUUAAAGAUAUGUUAAGUGCAUGCGUGUUAUAGUUCAAAAGAAGUUGGGAUACGCAAUUACCAUUGGUCGAAAUUGCAUACAACAACAAUUAUCAUUCAAGUAUCGGAAUGGCUCCCUAGAAGCAUUAUACGAUCGAUCUUGCAGGACCUAGUAUGUUGGAACGAAGUUGGAGAACGAAAAUUAUUGGGUCGAAUUAGUUCAAUAGACAACUAAGAAUGUGAAGCUUAUCAGAGAUAACCUUAAGGCAGCUCGCGAUAGACAGAAGAGUUAUGUGGAUAAGCAAAGAAGAGAAUUAGAAUUUAAAGUCGGAGAUCAGGUAUUCCUUCGAUUGUCCACAUAGAAAGGAAUUCUCCAAUUUGGGAAAAACGAAAAGUUAAGUCCGCAAUACAUCAAACCAUAUGAGAUUGUGGAACGAGUUGGCCCAGCAGCUUAUAAAUUGCAGUUACCUCUGGAGCUAACUCGUAUUCAUGACGUAUUCCAUGUGUCAAUGUUAAGGAAGUAUGUGCCUGACCAUAUGCACAUACUAGCAGAACAACCAAUAUAGCUCAAGGAAGAUUUAUUAUACGAAGAAGAGCCUAUCGAGAUUUUAGACAGGAAAAACCAAGUACUCAAGAACAAGACGAUACCUUUGGUAAAGGUAUUAUGGAGAAACCAUGGUAUUGAGGAAGCCACCUGGAAGCUGAAAAGCAAAUGAAAAGAAGUCAUCCCCAACUAUUCAACUAAUAUCUUCCAGGUAAAUUUCGAGGACGAAAUUUCUUCUAGGGGGAGGUAAAUUUUAAAUCCCAAACCCUACUUUCCCUACCUAAGUAUGUUAACUAUAUGAUUACAAUGUUAAGUAGGUUUACUUAUGAGGAAUGAUUGUAGGGAAAAAUUGAAGAAUGAAGGAAAUGAAGAAGGGAAAACUCUAAGUGUUCUAUUGAAAUGCCUCGGGUAGGCUUGUGAAUUUAGCGAUAGUGCUUUUAGUAAGCCAAUUUCUAUAUCUUUAUGAGAUAUAUUGAGUUUGCGAUUUAUGUUAAACAAGGGUGGAAGAAUACUAUUAAGCAUAAUAUGUGAUUAUUAUUUUGUUAUUAAAGACUGAAUGGAAGUAUGAAAUUAAAUAAUUUUGUGAUUAUUUGAAAUAAAAUAAAAAAGGAAAAGAGAAAAAGGUGUAAGUUGGUGGGAAGGUUUAAGUGAGACGAGGGAUCACUCUUUCCCCAUUUUUAUUGCUGACAUACCUCCUCCUCCAAGCCGAAACAAGUGAGGGUAAUUGAGCUAGGUAUCGAAUUGGCGAAGAAGAAGAAGGUUUAGGGUUCAAUGGUGUAGAAUAUGAAGAAAAACUUGGGGAAAUUCGAAGAAGAAUUAAAGCUGGUAUGGAAUUCAAGUAAUCUUGACAGAGUAUGAUGUUCGAAGGAUAACAAGGUGUAGGAUGGAGUUCGGAGCAGCAUAAUUGAGAUUAGUAAGUUAACUCGUUUCUUAACAACUUUUGUGAAGGAUGCUUGUGCUAAAUGUAAAGGGAAACAGGUGAAAUUCGAAUAAGAAUUGAAGCUUGUCCAGAAUUCCAGUAAUCUGGACAGGAUAUGAUGUUCAAAGGAUAACAGGCUAUAGAGAUCGAGUCUGGAGCUGAAAUUUUAAGGUAAAAUAGCUAAUUAAGGAAAUUUCUUGAAAUGAGUUAUGGAAUUCGAGUUAUAAAUUUUUGAAGUUGGAAUAGGAAUUUGUUGCGUAAGCAGGCAGCUGGUUGGGAUGAUCAAGCAAGUAGCUCACCCAAGGGAGCGAGAGCGAGAUAAAGAUUGUGUAAAUCUCGCUGGUCAAUCAAAUCUCGUUGAUUUUCUGCCUAGUCUCGCUAAAAUUUUUACUAAGUCUCCCUAAUAAUGGUAAGUCUCACUAAGAAUGAAAAAUCUCGCUAGUUUUGUGCCAAGUCUCGGUGAUUUUCAUGUUAAGUCUCGCUCAUAAGAUGAUCUCGCUGGUAAUGGUCUCCUUGAUGAUGAUCUCGUUAGUGACAAUCUCGCUAGUGUUGGUCUCGCUAGUGAUGAUCCCGUUAGUAAGGGUCUCGCUAGUAUGCAAUCUAUUUAAAGCAUUUUGAAGAGAAUUCAAAGGAAUCUAACAAGGAAUUAUGUUACUUCAGGCCAAGAGGAGCUAGGAGAAGCCUACAAACCGUUAAGAGCCCAGACGAGUAGUGAGUGACUAAAAUAAACUUAAUGUUUUCAAUGUUUUGUGUGCAUAAAAGACCAUGUGAUUUCAAUGAUGUUUGAUGAUAAGGUUAUACGUUUUUAAGCAACCAAGUUUUAUGAAUUGCAUAGCAUUUCUUCUCCAGCAUGUGUAUGUUUUAUCGCAUGCCAAGGUUAUAUGUUUAUUCAUUAUAAAAGCUAAGUAUCUAUGAUGAAGCAUGCGUUUUUAGGGUAAAAGCUAUGUUUCUACAAAUGCUUUGCUAAGGGCUAUGAUUGAUUGAUUCUUAAUGUAUAUGUUUUUUUCUUAAGUAUGAUAUGUUUAGUAAGAUGGAUACUGAAGGUAUAUAAGGUAUCCAAAAAGUACCUAAGGUGUUGACGAUACUUAGAAACUCCACGUGCACGUAGGUAGUUCUGAAUGAAAGGUUGAAGUAUGGGUCUUCUUGGCCGUAUACCAGCAAAUAAAGGCCGAAGUAUGGGUGUCUUGGCCGGAUAUAGAUGUUGGGAGCUAGAGCGAUGUAUGCUCAUUCUCAACUAAGGUUUAAUGAUGUUUAUUGAUGUUUAAUGAGUUUUCUUCUCAGAAGCUUGAUGUUAUGACUAUGUUCAUGUUUUAAAGGAAGUUGCUUGAAAUGUUUUCUAGUAUGUUUACGUGUUUUAUAUUAAUGAAAGACAUGGUAUGUCCUGAUUCCCAGUAGUCACUCACUGGGCAAAUAGCUCACAGUUUUCAAAUAUAUUUUUUUCUUUCCCCAGGUAGCGAUCAGAUUCCUUGAGAUUGAUCCUGCUGCUGCUUGCCACACAAGACCCGACUAGUUGAAAAGAAACUAGGUUAACUAUUGUAUAUAUAUGUACACUUGCUAUGAGAAGUGUUAGGGACAUGUCAGUGAGAAAUGUCAGAGACUUGUUAAUAUCGUUUUAGGCCCAGCUAUAAAUAUUUUAUCUGUAGAUAUUAUGUUAUGGUUCAUUAAGCAUGUGAUUGUAUGGAAGUUAAUGUUGAGCCUUCUUGAUGUGGCCAAAUUGUAUAAGUUAAUAAUGUUUAUAAGGUUAGCAGUAAAGGAGUUAAGUAAGUAA